ensembl:rRNA 5S_rRNA 5S ribosomal RNA
GUCUACAGCCAUACCACCCUGAACAUGCUCGACCUUGUCAGAUCUCGGAAGCUAAGCAGGUUUGGGCUUGGUUAGUACUUGGAUAGGAGACCACCUAGGAAUAUCAAGUGCUGUAGGCA